rnacentral:rRNA from 1 species
GACGUAGGGCGCGAGCGUUGUCCGGAUUUAUUGGGCGUAAAGAGCUCGUAGGCGGCUUGUUGCGUCGACCGUGAAAACCCGCGGCUUAACUGUGGGCUUGCGGUCGAUACGGGCGGGCUGGAGUUCGGUAGGGGAGACUGGAAUUCCUGGUGUAGCGGUGAAAUGCGCAGAUAUCAGGAGGAACACCAGUGGCGAAGGCGGGUUUCUGGGCCGAUACUGACGCUGAGGAGCGAAAGCGUGGGGAGCGAACAGG